rnacentral:misc_RNA from 1 species
GUGAAGAACGCAGCGAAAUGCGAUAAGUAAUGUGAAUUGCAGAAUCCAGUGAAUCAUCGAAUCUUUGAACGCACAUUGCGCCCGCCAGCAUUCUGGCGGGCAUGCCUGUUCGAGCGUCAUUUCAACCCUCGACCUCCCUUUGGGGAAGUCGGCGUUGGGGACCGGCAGCACACCGCCGGCCCUGAAAUGGAGUGGCGGCCCGUCCGCGGCGACCUCUGCGUAGUAAUCCAACUCGCACCGGAACCCCGACGCGGCCACGCCGUAAAACACCCAACUUCUGAACGUUGACCUCGAAUCAGGUAGGACUACCCGCUGAACUUAAGCAUAUCAAUAAGCGGAGGA